rnacentral:rRNA from 1 species
UACGUAGGCAGCGAGCGUUGUUCGGAGUUACUGGGCGUAAAGAGUGCGUAGGCGGUUUUCUAAGUUUGGUGUGAAAUCUCCCGGCUUAACUGGGAGGGUGCGCCGAAAACUGGAAGGCUUGAGUAUGGGAGAGGUAAGCGGAAUUCCUGGUGUAGCGGUGAAAUGCGUAGAUAUCAGGAGGAACACCUAUAGCGAAGGCAGCUUGCUGGGACGUUACUGACGCUAAGGCGCGAAAGCGUGGGGAGCGAACAGG